CGGAUCAGCAUGCCGCGGUGAAUACGUUCCCGGGCCUUGUACACACCGCCCGUCACACCAUGAGAGUUGGCAACACCCGAAGUCAGUAGCCUAACCGCAAGGGGGGCGCUGCCGAAGGUGGGGUUGAUGACUGGAGUGAAGUCGUAACAAGGUAGC
rnacentral:rRNA from 1 species